GCUGGGUGCAGUGGGCGUGCCUGUAGUCUCGGCUACUCAGGAGGCUGAGGUGGGAGGAUCGCUUGAGCCCAGGAGUUCUGGGCUGUAGUGCCCUAUGUCGAUUGGGUAUCCACACUAAGUUUGGCAUCAAUAUGAUGACCUCCCCGGAGCAGUGGACCACCAGGUUGCCUAAGGAGGGAUGAACCGGCCCAGGUCGGAAGUGCAGCAGGUCAAAACUCCCGUGCUGAUGAGUAGUGGGAUUGCGCCUGUAAAUAGCCACUGCACUCCAGCCUGGGCAACAUAUCGAGACCCUGUCGCU
rnacentral:SRP_RNA from 1 species